UACAGAGGUGGCAAGCGUUGUUCGGAAUUACUGGGCGUAAAGGGCGCGUAGGCGGCCAUCUAAGUCAGACGUGAAAUCCCCAGGCUCAACCUGGGAACUGCGUCUGAUACUGGAUGGCUUGAAUCCGGGAGAGGGAUGCAGAAUUCCAGGUGUAGCGGUGAAAUGCGUAGAUAUCUGGAGGAAUACCGGUGGCGAAGGCGGCAUCCUGGACCAUUACUGACACUGAAAAGCGAAAGCCAGGGGAGCAAACGGG
rnacentral:rRNA from 1 species